rnacentral:lncRNA from 1 species
GAAAGGCACUUUGCUCUGACCCAUAGUAUACUCUUUGCCCAGUAGUGUAUGGUUGAAUUCAUUUUUGCUUCUUUGCUAAGAGGUAGUUCGACACCUUCUUGCUUCUGAGUUUAUUCCUAUUUCUUCCCAGCUCUUCAAACUUUAAGAAACUGAAGAGGGCAGCAAAGUAACCUGGCCAUCUUUUAUCAGGGCAGUCAGAGGCACCUGACUGGCUGAGUGGCAGAUAGAUUAAUGGAGGAGCUUUGUUGCUGUAUUGCCUAGUUUCAUCCUCUUGGACUCUUUUCAUAUACUUGAAUAGCCUAAUUAUCUGAAGCCAGAAGUGAGUUGACAGUGCCAGUUAGUGGUGGCAGUAAUUAUGACUGAAGGUAUCUGUGAGCAUUAAAGCAUUCCAU